rnacentral:rRNA from 1 species
GACGAACGCUGGCGGCGUGCCUAAUACAUGCAAGUCGAACGCAGUGGGUACUGGUGAGUAACCCGUGGGUAACCUCCCAUCAGAGGGGAUAACACUUGGAAACAGGUGCUAAACCGAUACUGAUGGAUGGACCCGCGGUGCAUUAGCUAGUUGGUGAGGUAACGGAUCACCAAGGCCACGAUGCAUAGCGGGCCUGAGAGGAGGAUCGGCCACACUGGGACUGAGACACGGCCCAGACGCCUACGGGAGGCAGCAGUAGGGAAUAUUCGGCAAUGGGCGAAAGUCUGACCGAGCAACGCCGCGUGAGUGAAGAAGGUUUUCGGAUCGUAAAGCUCUGUUGUUAGAGAAGCGGUAUCUAACCAGGAAGCCACGGCUAACUACGUGCCAGCCGCCGCGGUAAUAC